rnacentral:rRNA from 1 species
UCUUCGGAAUGUGGAAGAGUGGCGAACGGGUGAGGAACACGUAAGAAUCUGCCCCUCGGUCGGGGACAACUUUUGGAAACGAAAGCUAAUACCCGAUACGCUGUGGAGUGAAAGAAUUUCGCCGAGGGAUGAUCUUGCGUCUGAUUAGCUAGUUGGUGCGGUAAUGGCGCACCAAGGCGACGAUCAGUAGCUGGUCUGAGAGGAUGAACAGCCACAUUGGAACUGAGACACGGUCCAAACUCCUACGGGAGGCAGCAGUGGGGAAUUUUCCGCAAUGGACGAAAGUCUGACGGAGCGACGCUGCGUGAAGGAUGACGGCCUGCGGGUUGUAAACUUCUUUUCUCGAAGAAGAAGCUCUGACGGUAUUCGAGGAAUAAGCAUCGGCUAACUCCGUGCCAGCAGCCGCGGUAAGACGGAGGAUGCAAGUGUUAUUCGGAAUGAUUGGGCGUAAAGCGUCUGUAGGCUGUAUAGAAAGUCUUUUGUUAAAUACCUCGGCUCAACCGAGAUCCAGCAAAGGAAACUUCUAUACUUGAGGUAAGUAGAGGUACAGGGAAUUCCCGGUGGAGCGGUG